UAGACUAUACUACACAGGAUCAUUUCUGUAGUCAGUCUUCUUUUACUUUAAAUGCAAAGUAUAAUAAAAUCUGUUAUUUAGU
rnacentral:snoRNA from 12 species